UCUUUUUCUUCUUCUUCUUCUUCUCCAUCUACCAUUGAAGCUCACCAUUAAAGCUUCUAUCUCCAAAGACAUAUUUCUUCUCUUCUUCUUCUUGUAUUUCCACCAUACUGUAAGGGACAAUGAAAAGGAAUUCAGUCAUACGCUUUGCUUAUGACGGAUACUAUACAAGUAUCGGAGAAGAUGUACAUUGGAUUUCUAAUGGAGAAGAUGAAGAAGUGUAGUCUUUUCUUAUGAAUAAAUCGCGGAGUGGUUUGCCAAACAUAGAAAAGCUUCUGGACUAUUACCAAGUGGUCAAUAUUUGGUUCCUUUUGUGGAGAAGGAACUCCAUCUUACAACUAAGAAAGCGAAAAAGUUGGUGGUGCAAGAGCUAAACGGUUACAAUCUUGAUUAUAGUGUGAUUGGAGGCGAUGGGAAAAUUUAUUUGGUUGAUUUGAGAAGCAAAACAUGCAGUUGUAGGCGUUUUGAUAUAGACAAGUAUCCAUGUGUGCAUGCGAUAGCGGCUACACUUACAGCAAACAAGGAUGCAGCUCCUGACCUCCGGGCACAUGACUUGUGCUCAAAGUAUUAUUGGAUCGAGCUUUGGGUUUUGGCAUACACGAGGACAAUUUAUCCGGUUCCCCAUAAUAGUCAAUGGGUUCUUCCUGAGGAGAUAAUGCAACUGUUUGCAUAUCCUCCGGAUUACGAGGUAAAACAAGGAAGAAGACAAGAAACAAGAUUCCCCUCCGUUGGAGAGCAUAGAGGACGUAAGAAGAGGUCGCAUGGAGCGAGCGGUUUGGGCGAGUGGUUUACCAAUGAUGGUGACGUUGACGGAGACGAUUCGGGUGACCAAGGUUGAUUUCUCAAUGCUAUUUAUUAGGUUAAUUUAAGAAACGAUGUUGUUUGUGUUGGUUUUGUUUGUAAAACUUAUAUGUUCUGUGUUGUACAACUAAGUUUUAUCAGGUACAACUAUUGUUAAUUUCCUU